GUUCCAGACUCCUACGGGAGGCAGCAGUGAGGAAUAUUGGUCAAUGGUCGGGAGACUGAACCAGCCAAGCCGCGUGAGGGAUGAAGGUACAGAGUAUCGUAAACCUCUUUUGUCAGGGAACAAAGGCGGGGACGUGUCCCCGGAUGAGUGUACCUGAAGAAAAAGCAUCGGCUAACUCCGUGCCAGCAGCCGCGGUAAUACGGAGGAUGCGAGCGUUAUCCGGAUUUAUUGGGUUUAAAGGGUGCGUAGGCGGUCGGAUAAGUUAGAGGUGAAAUCCCGAGGCUCAACUUCGGAAUUGCCUCUGAUACUGUUCGGCUAGAGAGUAGUUGCGGUAGGCGGAAUGUAUGGUGUAGCGGUGAAAUGCUUAGAGAUCAUACAGAACACCGAUUGCGAAGGCAGCUUGCUAGGCCGGAUCUGACACUGAUGCACGAAAGCGUGGGGAUCGAACAGGAUUAGAUACCCUAGUAAA
rnacentral:rRNA from 1 species